AGAAUUGAUCUUGGUCAGGAUGAACGCUGGCGGCGUGCUUAACACAUGCAAGCCGAACGGAGUUAUGAUGUGCGAGGAAAGAAGCUUGCUUGGACUAAACUUUCAUAACUAGUGGCGGACGGGUGAGUAACGCGUGGGUAACCUGCCCUGUACAGGGGGAUAACAGUUGGAAACGACUGCUAACACCGCAUAACAUUAAGGGAGCGCAUGAUCCCUUGAUCAAACAUUUAUGGGUACAGGAUGGGCCCGCGUCUGAUUAGCCAGUUGGUGAGGUAACGGCUCACCAAAGCGACGAUCAGUAGCCGUACUGAGAGGUAGAACGGCCACAUUGGGACUGAGACACGGCCCAAACUCCUACGGGAGGCAGCAGUGGGGAAUAUUGGUCAAUGGGGGCAACCCUGAACCAAGCGACGCCGCGUGAGUGAAGAAGUAUUUCGGUAUGUAAAGCUCUAUCAGCAGGGACGAUGAUGACGGUACCUGACUAAGAAGCCCCGGCUAACUACGUGCCAGCCGCCGC
rnacentral:rRNA from 1 species